AAUAAUAACGUAUUCCUGUUUAGAACUUAUCGGAGGCUGACGUUCGCGGAUUAAGAUUUAAGAAAGACUCGCUGAUAAGAAUGGGUUGGUAUGCAUUGAUGUCGAUAAGAUUAUGUGGUCGCAUAGAAAUCAUUUUAUUCUACGACGUCUCCGGAAGUGAAUAAGAGGAGCGACGGAGCCGAGAGGAUUUCAUUUUCACUUCUCGGGGCGGAGGAGAGAAGAGGAGAGAGACGUUCUGACGGGACGAGAGGAGAGUGGAACGUUCGGCCACAGGGCUGUAUUGUGGACUCUUCCCACAGUGUCAUCAUGCCUCCCAACAGUUCUACGAAAUGAUUUGCACAGAGUAACUCUUCAAGAGUUCUUAUCGUUGAAACUUCACAGUUCACACCUACUAUGGCAUGGAACCACAGAAAGGAAGCUCACUGCUGAUACGUAACAACUUCCUUCCAGUAGAUCCAGACCUUGGGCUAGGUCUCAUCCCACGCGUUCCAUUGUUAGAUAUUGCCCGCAAGGCCAUCUGUCAUUGGCGACUGAGGAUAUCGACAUACCAUCAUUGACUGAGGUCACAGAAGCUACACAGCCUGAUCUACCAUAUCACUACCUAAAAACCCCAUGUCACUUAGCCAACUCGUACGUACCUUCUCUGCUCACCUUCCCCCAGUGCCCCAUCUUCCCUUCCCCUUAUUGAACAUACUCCAUAGACAAUACACGAAAAAUGGGAAACUGACUAUUAAUACCAUUAAAACAAACAUCAUCCAACCCAUCAGAAUGCGCGCCAUCUAUUGAUCAUGCCCUCAACUAAAACUCUGCUGUGGCGUAGCGCGGUAUUUUUAAAUGUUAAAAUUUAUUCUCAUGCUGCAAUAAACUUCUCUUGAUAAAGUAUUGAAUACUAAAUCGAUUAAUAUUGCUUGUUAACAUGAUUUUAGGACUCUAUCAUAGCUUAUGACUUAUAUAUUAGGCAUUUUUGAAUCAUUAAAUAAAAUCCUUCAGUUAAUGUAACAUUAAUUGCUAAGUAUCUUUAUCUAAAAUUGAGAGGGCAGUUAACAUUAAUUGCUAAGUAUCUUUAUCUAAAAUUGA